AUUGAACGCUGGCGGCAGGCCUAACACAUGCAAGUCGAGCGAGCGGCGGACGGGUGAGUAAUGUAUGGGGAUCUGCCCGAUAGAGGGGGAUAACUACUGGAAACGGUGGCUAAUACCGCAUACUAUCGGAUGAACCCAUAUGGGAGUAGCUAGUAGGUGGGGUAACGGCUCAACUAGGAGACGAUCUCUAGCUGGUCUGAGAGGAUGACCAGCCACACGGGAACUGAGACACGGCCCAGACUCCUACGGGAGGUAGCAGUGGGGAAUAUUGCACAAUGGGCGCAAGCCUGAUGCAGCCAUGCCGCGUGUAUGAAGAAGGCCUUAGGGUUGUAAAGUACUUUCAGCGGGGAGGCGUUACCCGCAGAAGAAGCACCGGCUAACUCCGGGCCAGCAGCCGCGGUAAUUC
rnacentral:rRNA from 1 species